AGCUCCAAUAGCAUAUAUUAAAGUUGCUGCGGUUAAAAAGCUCGUAGUUGAGUCUCUAGCAAGGUCGACUGAUCCAUCUUCAGGGUGUGAAAUUAGCUUGGCUCCGCUUCUUUCUGGCGAGGUUUGUCUGCACUUCGCUGUGCAGACAGCUGCGCCGAUUAUUACUUUGAGGAAAAUAGAGUUCUUCAAGCAGGCGCACGCCAUGGAUAUGUGAGCAUGGAAUAAGGAUAUAUGCCUCGGCUCAGAUUUUGUUGGUUUCCACUGCUGAGGCAAAGGUUUGUAGGGCCAGUUGGGGGCACUCGUACUUAACUGUCAGAGGUGAAAUUCUUGGAUUUGUUAAAGACGACCCAGUGCGAAAGCAUUUGCCAAGAAUGUUCUCG
rnacentral:rRNA from 1 species